rnacentral:rRNA from 1 species
AGAGUUUGAUCAUGGCUCAGAUUGAACGCUGGCGGCAGGCCUAACACAUGCAAGUCGAGCGGUAGCACAGAGAGCUUGCUCUCGGGUGACGAGCGGCGGACGGGUGAGUAAUGUCUGGGAAACUGCCUGAUGGAGGGGGAUAACUACUGGAAACGGUAGCUAAUACCGCAUAACGUCGCAAGACCAAAGUGGGGGACCUUCAGGCCUCAUGCCAUCAGAUGUGCCCAGAUGGGAUUAGCUAGUAGGUGGGGUAACGGCUCACCUAGGCGACGAUCCCUAGCUGGUCUGAGAGGAUGACCAGCCACACUGGAACUGAGACACGGUCCAGACUCCUACGGGAGGCAGCAGUGGGGAAUAUUGCACAAUGGGCGCAAGCCUGAUGCAGCCAUGCCGCGUGUAUGAAGAAGGCCUUCGGGUUGUAAAGUACUUUCAGCGGGGAGGAAGGCGAUAAGGUUAAUAACCUUGUCGAUUGACGUUACCCGCAGAAGAAGCACCGGCUAACUCCGUGCCAGCAGCCGCGGUAAUACGGAGGGUGCAAGCGUUAAUCGGAAUUACUGGGCGUAAAGCGCACGCAGGCGGUCUGUCAAGUCGGAUGUGAAAUCCCCGGGCUCAACCUGGGAACUGCAUUCGAAACUGGCAGGCUAGAGUCUUGUAGAGGGGGGUAGAAUUCCAGGUGUAGCGGUGAAAUGCGUAGAGAUCUGGAGGAAUACCGGUGGCGAAGGCGGCCCCCUGGACAAAGACUGACGCUCAGGUGCGAAAGCGUGGGGAGCAAACAGGAUUAGAUACCCUGGUAGUCCACGCCGUAAACGAUGUCGAUUUGGAGGUUGUGCCCUUGAGGCGUGGCUUCCGGAGCUAACGCGUUAAAUCGACCGCCUGGGGAGUACGGCCGCAAGGUUAAAACUCAAAUGAAUUGACGGGGGCCCGCACAAGCGGUGGAGCAUGUGGUUUAAUUCGAUGCAACGCGAAGAACCUUACCUGGUCUUGACAUCCACAGAACUUNNNNNNNNNNNNNGUCGUAGUCCGGAUUGGAGUCUGCAACUCGACUCCAUGAAGUCGGAAUCGCUAGUAAUCGUAGAUCAGAAUGCUACGGUGAAUACGUUCCCGGGCCUUGUACACACCGCCCGUCACACCAUGGGAGUGGGUUGCAAAAGAAGUAGGUAGCUUAACCUUCGGGAGGGCGCUUACCACUUUGUGAUUCAUGACUGGGGUGAAGUCGUAACAAGGUAACCGUAGGGGAACCUGCGGUUGGAUCACCU